rnacentral:rRNA from 1 species
GAUGAACGCUAGCGGCAGGCUUAAUACAUGCAAGUCGUGGGGCAGCAGGUCUGUAGCAAUACAGAUGCUGGCGACCGGCAAACGGGUGCGUAACACGUACGCAACCUUCCCGUUACUGGGGAAUAGCCCAGGGAAACUUGGAUUAAUACCCCAUAUUAUAUUGGUUAGGCAUCUGACUGAUAUCAAAGCUUCGGCGGUAACGGAUGGGCGUGCGGUUGAUUAGGUAGUUGGCGGGGUAACGGCCCACCAAGCCUACGAUCAAUAGCUGAUGUGAGAGCAUGAUCAGCCACACGAGAACUGAGACACGGGCCCGACUCCUACGGGAGGCAGCAGUAAGGAAUAUUGGGCAAUGGACGAAAGUCUGACCCAGCCAUGCCGCGUGAAGGAUGAAGGUCCUCUGGAUUGUAAACUUCUUUUAUCUGGGGCGAAAAUCGGUUAUUCUUAGCCGCUUGACAGUACCAGAUGAAUAAGCACCGGCUAACUCCGUGCCAGCCGCCGCCGUAACAC